rnacentral:rRNA from 1 species
GAUGAACGCUGGCGGCGUGCCUAAUACAUGCAAGUCGAGCGAACGGACGAGAAGCUUGCUUCUCUGAUGUUAGCGGCGGACGGGUGAGUAACACGUGGAUAACCUACCUAUAAGACUGGGAUAACUUCGGGAAACCGGAGCUAAUACCGGAUAAUAUUUUGAACCGCAUGGUUCAAAAGUGAAAGACGGUCUUGCUGUCACUUAUAGAUGGAUCCGCGCUGCAUUAGCUAGUUGGUAAGGUAACGGCUUACCAAGGCAACGAUGCUUAGCCGACCUGAGAGUGUGCGCGGCCACACUGGAACUGAGACACGGUCCAGACUCCUACGGGAGCGAGCAGUAGGGAGUCUUGCGCAAGGGGCGAAAGCUUGACGGAGCAACGCCGCGCGAGUGAUGAAGGUCUUCGGAUCGUAAAACUCUGUUAUUAGGGAAGAACAUAUGUGUACGUAACUGUUCACAUCUUGACGGUACCUAAUCAGAAAGCCACGGCUAACUACGUG